UGGAUCAUGAGUCUUUGGUGGCUGAACAGGGGAUCUAUUAUCUGGCAAGCAACUACUAUGGAUACUGUUAUCCAGGAGCAUUUGAUGGCGUCUUGGAGCUUCUGGUUCAUGCUGGCAGAAGUCUGCCCAAAGCUAUCACGUGGAGGGGACCUUACUGAAACAGUUCAUGUGGAAGGCUAUGUGGCAGUUUGUUUGUUUUGAAAACUUUAAAUAGACCAUUAAUUGUUUUGUUGGUAUUGUCCUAA